AGAGUUUGAUCAUGGCUCAGGAUGAACGUUAGCGGGAGGCUUAAUACAUGCAAGUCGAGCGGUAAGUUUUUAUAGCAAUAUGAAGACCUAGAGCGGCGCACGGGUGAGUAACGCGUACACGACCUGGCCUAAACUGGGGGAUAGCCUUGGGAAACUGAGAGUAAUCCCGCAUGUGAUUAUGUUACUGAUGGUGAUAUAAUUAAAGCUUCGGCGGUUUAGGAUGGGUGUGCGUCUGAUUAGCUAGUUGGUAGUGUAACGGACUACCAAGGCGAUGAUCAGUAGGGGGCGUGAGAGCGUGACCCCCCACACGGGUACUGAGACACGGACCCGACUCCUACGGGAGGCAGCAGUAAGGAAUAUUGGUCAAUGCCCGGAAGGGUGAACCAGCCAUCCCGCGUGAAGGAUGAAGGGGCUCUGCCUUGUAAACUUCUUUUGUAUGGGGCGAAAAAAGGGGAUUUAUCCUCGACUGACGGUACCAUAAGAAUAAGCACCGGCUAACUCCGUGCCAGCAGCCGCGGUAAUACGGAGGGUGCGAACGUUAUCCGGAAUCACUGGGUUUAAAGGGUGCGUAGGCUGUUUAAUAAGUCAGUGGUGAAAGGCCGUCGCUUAACGAUGGGACUGCCAUUGAUACUGUUAGACUUGAAUCAGGUUGAGGUUGGCGGAAUGUGGCAUGUAGCGGUGAAAUGCAUAGAUAUGCCAUGGAAUACCGAUUGCGAAGGCAGCUGACUGGACCUUGAUUGACGCUGAGGCACGAAAGCGUGGGUAGCGAACAGGAUUAGAUACCCUGGUAGU
rnacentral:rRNA from 1 species